CGAUCACCGCGCGUAAGUUUAUGAUUGGUGACUCGCGACGGUUACUUCAUAUGCUUCCCUUUUGAAGAAAGUGUUCAAACUGUUUCGCAGCCGAUUGUAGCUGACGCGACCUUUUCUGUUUGUCUGAUAUCUCGCUUUUGGAUACUGUGAAUAUCACAGCUACUAAUAAUUUCAAAUAGUCGUUCGUCGAUCUUACAAAGUGCACAUAAAAUCUUUCAGAGGUACUAAUAAUAAGUCGAAUCACGAAGAAAAAUAAAGUUGAGCGGUGCAGUUAUACAAACAGAUUAUUGCGCCGAGCAAGUUUUAAAAGUCAAAAUCUCCAUUAGGAGAGAAUCGAUAGAGAGAAAACGGAACAACUUUGAAGAGCGAUCCGUGCGGCAAACGUUAAAAAAGGGAGUAGCAUUAAAAAGUGGAUAUGUCCUACGAAUGUAUUUCCUGCGGAAAAAGGUUCAUUCAGAUGAAUUUCACAAAGCACCUCAUUGAGGACGAAGAAUGUUGGAUAAAAGUAUGGGACCAUGGCAACUACAAAACCAACGAUGAGAAAAAACUGGAAAGCGAUGUACAUGUUCAUUCACAAAAACAAGAAGAAUGUAAUAUUAUAGGCCCGGAACCAUUUUUAAGCAGUAACACGUAUGGCAUAUAUCCCAGCACAAGCAGCGGCAUUCAAGAGCGCAAAAAUAUACUUUACGAAUAUGAUGAUUACAACCAAAAGUUUUGUAGAAAGAAUGAGUUGACGAAUCACUUAACGCAGAAACACAAAGGUGUAAUGCACCAAUGCGAACAUUGCAACUACGAAUUCAAGGAUGAGAAACAUCUGAUGAGCCACAUACGAUAUGUUCAUCCUAACAUCCAGGAGGAAACUAACAGUGCGCAGCCGGGACCUUCUUGGGAGGAUGGUCAGUACGGCAAACAUUCUAACAGAAAUAGUUGCAUUGAAAACAACAGGCCUUACGAAUCGUAUAAAGUUUGCCACCAGAGGUUUCAUAGAAAGUUAGAAUUGAUAUAUCAUUACAAAAAUGUCCACCAACGUUUGAUGCAUCAAUGUGAACAUUGCGCCUACGAAACCAACAAUGAGGAGGAUCUGAAAAGCCACAUGCAAUUUUAUCAUUCUAACGUCCAGAAGGAAAGUAAUCGUGGGGAGCAGGGACCAUCUUGGGAAAGUGAUCCCUGUGGCAAACAUUCCAGCACAAACAGCUGCAUAGAAAACAAUAUGCCCUACGAAUGUGAUGUUUGUGACCAAAGGUUUCAUAAAAGAUAUGAAUUAAUAUAUCACUACAAGAAUGCCCACCGACGUUUAAUGUACCAAUGUGAACAUUGCAUAUACGGAACUAACGAUGAAGAAGAUAUGAAGAGCCACAUACGUGAUCAUUCUAACAACCAAGAAGAAAGCAUUAUUACAGACACGGAACCGUCUUUGAAGAGUGACUCGGGCGUCAAACAUUCCAGGAAACACAGCUGCAUUGAAAACAUACCUCACGAAUAUGAUGUUUGCAACCAAAAGUUCCGCAAAAUUAAUGAGGAGCAUGUGGAGAGCCAGGUACAAUGUGUUCAUCCAAACAUCCAGGAAGAAGAUAAUAGUGCGGAGCCGGGACCGUCUUGGGAGAGUGAUACGUAUGGCAAACAUUCCAGCAGAAACAGCUGCAGUGAAAACAAUAUGCCUUACGAAUGUACUGUUUGCAACCAGAGGUUUUAUAGAACGUUAACAUUGACAUAUCACUACAAGAAUGUCCACCAACGUUUAAUGCCCCAUUGUGAACAUCGCGCCUACGAAACCAAUGAUAAAAAUCUGAAGGACCACGUACGACGCGUUUAUCCUAAUGUCCAGAACGAAAGUAAUAGUUCAGAGCCGGGACCGUCUCGCGAGAGUGAGCCCUGCGCCAAAUAUACCAGCAUAAAUAGUAACAAAAGAAAGUACAAAUUAGAUUGGAAAUGUCAAGUUUGUAAUCAAGAGCUCUCUGGCAACCAAAUGUUGCUACAUCACCUAGCAGAAGUCCAUGGAAUUCAGGCAAAAUUCAAUUGUAGCCAAUGCAAAUACAAAACCAACUUACACUAUCUUUAUUAUCGUCAUUGGAAAACAAUGCAUGAAGACAAUUACGACUACCCGUGUACUGAACCAGGCUGUGAACGGGCGUACAAAACACGAACAGGUCUGUGGAGACACAUGCAUGUUAGGCAUUCUAACGAACAAGAGAAAAGCAAUAUUGUGGACCUGAAACUGUCUUCAGAGAGUCAUCCGUGCGGCAAACAUUCCACCAGAAAGAGAAGUGUUGAAAAGUAUGGAAGAAAACCUGCACUAUGCCCAGUCUGCAACCGAAGGUUUCGUUCUCAGAAAGAGCUGAUAGAUCACUUAAUAAAAGACCACGGCCGUCGAACGGUAUACAACUGCAGCCAUUGCAGCUAUGAAACUAAUCACAGGCACAGCUAUGAAAGGCAUAAUAAACGAAAGCACGAAGACAAUUACGACUACGUGUGUGCUGUGCCCAACUGCAACUGGAAGGGCAAAUUUCAGUAUGAUCUAAGACUACACAUGCAAAGUGUUCAUCAUAAUAAUCAAAAGAAAAGCGGAAGUACGAACGCGGAGCCGUCCUUGGAGAAUGACUCAUGAAUCAAACAAUCCAGAAUAAGAAAUAAACAGCAAUAAAGAGCCCAAAAAUGUGAUUCAGGUUUUGAUAGAAAGAAAGAGUUGAAACAUCAUCUCUGAGAGGACCAUAGAAGGACUGACUGCAGCGACUGCAAUUACACAUCUAACAAAAAACAGGACUUGCAAUAUCACAUUGGACGAAAGCACGUGUACAAUUACCACUACGUAUUUAUUAAUAAAAGCUGUUACAAGAAAUUCAAACUUGAAUAGGAACAGAAGAA
rnacentral:misc_RNA from 1 species